GNCCUACACAUUACNAGNUCGAACGGNUANCACAGCAGAGCUUGCGUCUCGGGGUGACNAGUGGCGGACGGGAUGAGUAAUGUCUGGGAAACUGCCUGUAAGGAGGGGGAUAACUACUGGAAACGGUAGCUAAUACCGCAUAACGUCGCAAGACCAAAGAGGGGGACCUUCGGGCCUCUUGCCAUCAGAUGUGCCCAGAUGGGAUUAGCUAGUAGGUGGGGUAACGGCUCACCUAGGCGACGAUCCCUAGCUGGUCUGAGAGGAUGACCAGCCACACUGGAACUGAGACACGGUCCAGACUCCUACGGGAGGCAGCAGUGGGGAAUAUUGCACAAUGGGCGCAAGCCUGAUGCAGCCAUGCCGCGUGUAUGAAGAAGGCCUUCGGGUUGUAAAGUACUUUCAGCGGGGAGGAAGGUGUUGUGGUUAAUAACCNCAGCAAUUGACGUUACCCGCAGAAGAAGCACCGGCUAACUCCGUGCCAGCAGCCGCGGUAAUACGGAGGGUGCAAGCGUUAAUCGGAAUUACUGGGCGUAAAGCGCACGCAGGCGGUCUGUCAAGUCGGAUGUGAAAUCCCCGGGCUCAACCUGGGAACUGCAUUCGAAACUGGCAGGCUAGAGUCUUGUAGAGGGGGGUAGAAUUC
rnacentral:rRNA from 1 species